UACGAAGGGGGCUAGCGUUGCUCGGAAUCACUGGGCGUAAAGCGCACGUAGGCGGGUCGUUAAGUCAGGGGUGAAAUCCUGGAGCUCAACUCCAGAACUGCCCUUGAUACUGGCGAUCUCGAGUUCGGGAGAGGUGAGUGGAACUGCGAGUGUCGAGGUGAAAUUCGUAGAUAUUCGCAAGAACACCAGUGGCGAAGGCGGCUCACUGGCCCGAUACUGACGCUGAGGUGCGAAAGCGUGGGGAGCAAACAGG
rnacentral:rRNA from 1 species